GGCUGCAACAAAAAUGUAAUGUUCAUCAUUCUAAAACUCUUCAACCUCUCUCUAAUCUCUUUGAACUGAUAAACACUAAGCUUUAUAUCAAUUUAUUGUUUUUGUCUCAUGUCUUUACUAUGUUGCACCGGAACGGAUACGGGGACAGAUACGGGGACGGGGGCGGGGACGGGAAACAGCUAAAUCUAAAAUUUAUAGAUACGGGUACGGCAUGGGUACGUCUAUAUAUAUAUAUAUGUGUGUGUGUAUAUAUAAAUAUUAAAACCAAAGCAUAAAUCUCAUAUUGCACUUAAAUUUCCAAGUACCUCCUUUUGCUCCUGAUUUCUCUAAUUUAGUCACGUAGUUCCAUAAUGGAGCUUCUUCGGAAGCAUUGUCAACAUUAUCACUUGCUCCUUAAGAAGUCAUAACCUGGAAAAAAAAAAUUGUGAGAAGCUUGUAUUAUAUAAACAACACACACGUAAGAAAAACAUAAACAUAAAGAAGUCUAAUACUCUUCUUUUACGUACAAACCAGAAAACACAUACGUACAUUACGUACAUGAAACAAACCAAAUACUAUCUAAUAUUAAUAUUAUCUAAGACUUUCUUUUACGUGAGCAUUGAAAAACCAAAACCAGAGUUUGUGAUAUGCUUACUGUGUUUUUCUUAGAUGUGAGAAAGAUGAAGAAUAAGAGCUUGAUUAAGAUUAAGAGAAUAUGGAUUAAAAGUUUAUAACCCUAAUCGUUUUAUACAAGACGUGUUUCCUUUUUUUUUCAAUUGUUAUCCAAAUAAAAAGAGUAUGAAAAAGUAAAUAAUCAAACUUUUACAAAAUUAUGCCGACUAUACAUCCUAAACGUUUCGGAAACGUUUCCAAAACCUAACCAUGCCGUCCCCAGAAACCUUUACCGUCCCCAGCCUCUCUGAAACGUUUCGGAAACGUUCCCACACCGUCCCCGCGUCGUCCCCGUCCCUGAAACGCCGCUGGUACGCGAGACGUCAAUGAUAUGCCGUCCCCGUGCAUCAUAGUGUCUUUCUCACUAAUUUAUCAUGUUUUUGCAGGUUUUUCAUCACAUGGUUCUCAUCUUCCACUCAUUUAAAGAUUUUCAGAUCUAGAUUUGGAUAUGCAGGUUUUUCAGAUCUGGAAGACGUAUGGGACGACUUACCUGUUAGUCGUCUAAAAUAUAAUGCGUCAGACGACUUUCAGGAAGUCUUCCAGACGAGUCGUCUGACGGAAUCUUCUCUCAUGUCUCUCCCUUUCAUAACAGUUCUGAGCGUUUUGGUUUUUAAUCAGAUGGUUCUUAUCUUCCACUCAUUUAAAGGUAGAUCUAUUAGUUUUAGAUAUAU